UGAAAGUUUUAGAUAAAAGGCGCUGUAUGAGACAGAGAGAUAGAGACAUCGUCCCGACGGGGGCUCCAUGGGGGGCGGCCCUGGGCCCUUUGCGAUCUCCGGACUUUCGGACUUAGAGAAAUUAGAGCAUCCGAUUCUCCGGACUUUUGGACUUAGAAAAAUUAGGACAUCCUCUCUCCAACACGCUACAGAGAUGCGUGUCGUAGCCCAUCGGGGCAAAGAAGACUACUGGCUGUGGGACCAUUUGAUGAGAAUAUCCUGGCUGUGGGACCAUUUGAUGAGAAUAUCCUGGCUGUGGGACCAUUUGAUGAGACCGACCCUCCGUGCCCGAGGAGAGAUAGAGCUACCGUCGACACCGGGGAAGCGUAGUGUAGAGAGGAGAGAUAGGGAUUCCCUCUCUUUUCCUCUGUCAACACCGGCGUGGAACGCCAGCGCUGCUCACUUCUCGACGAUACGGAGCGGCCCGUAUCAGAUAGGGGCCAUCAACAUUCAACAACAUUCCAGCGCAGCUCGCCCUCCCCAAUCUGAAUCAGUGCGGGGGCCGACGGCAGGGGAACAACGGCCUUUCUCUUCACACAGCUGAGGGGAGUGUUGGACGUAGUGUAGAGAGGUAAGAAUCAGGAAUCUAAAUUAUUAUAGACUUAAUCAGCUUUAUAAACAAACCCAAUUGAUUAGGCACUAUAUUAUAGGAGAGAUAGGGAUUCCCUCUCUUUUCCUCUGUCAACACCGGCGUGGAACGCCAGCGCUGCUCACUUCUCGACGAUACGGAGCGGCCCGUAUCAGAUAGGGGCCAUCAACAUUCAACAACAUUCCAGCGCAGCUCACCCUCCCCAAUCUGAAUCAGUGCGGGGGCCGACGGCAGGGGAACAACGGCCUUUCUCUUCACACAGCUGAGGGGAGUGUUGGAUGUAGUGUAGAGAGGUGAGAAAACCGGAAUCGAAAUUAUCGUAGACAAACCCACCAAGAUGUGUUCCAGAUGUAUUUUAUGUCACUUAUUUAGAAGUGUCACUGACGGCAUUUUAUUAGUCACUAUAUUAUAUGUAUUAACAUGUUUUUUUUGAAGGCCUUCACCGCUUGCUGCAAUGUCCCAGAUAUUAAUCCUGCAAAUAAAACUAUAUUCAAACCA